rnacentral:rRNA from 1 species
AGAGUUUGAUCAUGGCUCAGGACGAACGCUGGCGGCGUGCUUAACACAUGCAAGUCGAGCGAUGAGAUCCCUUCGGGGAUGGAUUAGCGGCGAACGGGUGAGGAACACGUGAAGAAUCUGCCUUCAACUCUGGGAUAACACCGGGAAACCGGUGCUAAUACCGGAUAUGAGCCUUGAUCGCAUGAUCGGGGCUGGAAAGUUUUUCGGUUGAAGAUGACUUCGCGGCCUAUCAGCUAGUUGGUGAGGUAAUAGCUCACCAAGGCGACGACGGGUAGCCGGCCUGAGAGGGCGACCGGCCACACUGGGACUGAGACACGGCCCAGACUCCUACGGGAGGCAGCAGUGGGGAAUAUUGGGCAAUGGACGAAAGUCUGACCCAGCGACGCCGCGUGAGGGAUGAAGGCCUUCGGGUUGUAAACCUCUUUCAGCAGGGAAGAAGCGAAAGUGACGGUACCUGCAGAAGAAGCACCGGCUAACUAUGUGCCAGCAGCCGCGGUAAUACAUAGGGUGCAAGCGUUGUCCGGAAUUAUUGGGCGUAAAGAGCUCGUAGGUGGUUAGUUACGUCGGAUGUGAAAAUCUAGGGCUCAACCCUAGACCUGCAUCCGAUACGGGCUAGCUUGAGUUUGGUAGGGGAGACUGGAAUUCCUGGUGUAGCGGUGGAAUGCGCAGAUAUCAGAGGAACACCAAUGGCGAAGCAGGUCUCUGGGCCAAUACUGACACUGAGGAGCGAAAGUGUGGGGAGCGAACAGGAUUAGAUACCCUGGUAGUCCACACAGUAAACGAUGGGCACUAGUUGUGGGAACCUUCCACGUUCUGCGACGCAGCUACGCAUAAGUGCCCCGCCUGGGGAGUACGAUCGCAGAUUAAACUCAAAGGAAUUGACGGGGNCCCGCACAAGCAGCGGAGCAUGC